GACAGAGGAUGCAAGCGUUAUCCGGAAUGAUUGGGCGUAAAGCGUCUGUAGGUGGCUUUUUAAGUCCGCCGUCAAAUCCCAGGGCUCAACCCUGGACAGGCGGUGGAAACUACCAAGCUGGAGUACGGUAGGGGCAGAGGGAAUUUCCGGUGGAGCGGUGAAAUGCGUAGAGAUCGGAAAGAACACCAAUAGUGUAGACAGCUUACUAGGCUACAACUGACGCUGAGGCACGAAAGUGUGGGGAUCAAACAGG
rnacentral:rRNA from 1 species